GAUGAACGCGUGGCGGCGUGCUUAAACACAUGCAAGUCGAGCGAAGCACUUAGGAAAGAUUCUUCGGAUGAUUUCCUUUGUGACUGAGCGGCGGACGGGUGAGUAACGCGUGGGUAACCUGCCUCAUACAGGGGAAUAACGUUCUGAAAAGAACGCUAAUACCGCAUAACGUACAGUUACCGCAUGGUAGCAGUACCAAAGGAGCAAUCCGCUGAAAGAUGGACUCGCGUCCGAUUAGCUAGUUGGUGGGGUAAAGGCCUACCAAGGCGACGAUCGGUAGCCGGACUGAGAGGUUGAACGGCCACAUUGGGACUGAGACACGGCCCAGACUCCUACGGGAGGCAGCAGUGGGGAAUAUUGCACAAUGGGGGAAACCCUGAUGCAGCGACGCCGCGUGGAGGAAGAAGGUCUUCGGAUUGUAAACUCCUGUUGUUGAGGAAGAUAAUGACGGUACUCAACAAGGAAGUGACGGCUAACUACGUG
rnacentral:rRNA from 1 species